rnacentral:rRNA from 1 species
UUAGAGGAAGUAAAAGUCGUAACAAGGUCUCCGUUGGUGAACCAGCGGAGGGAUCAU